CGAUGCACGACGACGAUGAAGACGAGGAUACGAGUACCGGGAUCUCAGGAUCUUACACUGGAUUGGGAGGUGUUGGAAAAAUAUCAGGAGGCGCUUUAAGCUUCACAAGACUUUGUCUUGUCCUAGUCUCAGAGCAUAGAGAACACUCCUACCGAUCCUAAUCGCAUGACCAGAGAGCAAUGGAGGGAAAUUGUUGAUGGAGUUUAUGGCUCUAGACCAAUCAAGAAAGGGAGGGUGCCUUUAUCAAGUGCAAAAGUUAGGACAGUCUUCACUAGCAGGAAUAUACAAAGCGGCUCGUCCGUGACCUCAAAGCGACUCGUCCGUGACCUCAAAGCGACCAUGUGAGACAUCGUACGUCGUGGCUAAAAUUGGACGGUAUUUAAUGGACAAUGUUCAACCCUCCAUGUUUUUUCAAUUUAUUCCCAUUAUUACGCGCGAGCUAGGAGGUGCACAAUCGACUUGGGAUGUUGUGCAGCGCCUUAGUGAUUGUCCAUCGUUGAAGGAGAUUCUUCCUGAGUCGAUAUACUUAGAGAUCUUUCAGUUGGCGUUUGACGAACAUGAAGUUCAUGGUGGUGGAGAGGUUGGAGGAGGUACUUCAGUAGGGAGCAACAAUACGAUACGACGUUCUAAUACAGACGAUGCUGAUAACAAGGAUGCUGACAACGACGAGGAAUGAGUGAGACUUGUGUUAAGACAUAUUAUGACUUUUGAAAUUUACAUAUAUGUAAUAUAUUUGUGAUUUUAUUGCGUAGUAAAUGAAUAUUAUUUGAGCAUGCGAGAUGUAUUGUGAUUGUGAUUA